UUAUUUUAAUAUCUGUUGCAUGUAAUUGCUUAUUGAAUUAUCUGCAUUUACUUGGUUAUUUAUUGUUAUCUACUCAUGCCACAGUGGACCUAGUGGUGUACUUCGCCACUCUCGGCGGCUUACCCACUGGGAACUAUUGUUUAAUAGUUCUCACGCCCUCUUUGUUGUUGCUUUUACAGAGCCUUCCACUGCGGGAAAGGCUAGGGUUCUUGGCAAGGGGUCUGCGGCUAGCUAGAGCCUUUUUGGACGUGUACUAGAUGACCUCCACCAGUUUAUGUAGUUUAGUACAGAGAUGUAUAUUAAAUUUUUGUAAUUGUACUGUAUUUUUAUUUCCUGUAGUAAGGUUUGGAUUGUAUAAGUUUAAACUUACAAGUCUUGCUCUGAUUACCUGGUUAGAAUUAUAUGCUUUUACUAUAUGAUUUGUAGACGCCUUGUGUAUGCUUGAGUUGUGGUGUACACGGCGGAUCUGUGCACGCGACCGGAUAUGCUUCCGCUGGUACCCGGGCGUGACACCUUUAUUAGGCUGUGUACCGGUACAGGAUUGAUGGCUGUACCGGUAUAGGGUUGAUGGUUGUACCGGUACGGGAUAGUGUACCGGUACACAGGCAGUUUUCCAGCAAACCCGAGGCUCGGGUUUGGCAUUUUCGUGGGAGGUGUACCGGUACGUGAGCCCGUAUACCGGUACGAAGUGCAGAUUCUGAGCAGUUUGAACUACAGGAGGUUUUUCGCAAUUGUGGACUUCUAUAUUACCACCCACGCCCCCUUGGGCCUUCCCUGAGCUGAGGAGGGUGGAGAUCAAGGUAAGAGAGCCCUCCAUCCCUUUCCUUCCAUUUUAUUUGGUUUUUAAGGCUUUUAUGCCUCAUUUUUGCUACUUUUGCAUCUUGGAGGCUUUUUCCACCAUUGGAGGGGACUUGGAGCUUUGUUAGAGGCUUGUUGGAGGAAAGAUCUUCCACCCCAUUUGAUUUGGAGCCCAAGCUGAGACUUCUAGAGAGGUUAGCAACAUGAUUUGAGCUUUUGAUCCAUGUUUUGCUAUGUUUUUGAGAUGAAACCCUAGAUUUGAUACUUAGGGCUUAUUUUGGGUAUUUUGAAUUUAGGGCUUUUGGGGCUAAAUUAGUUGGUUUAGAACCUUCCUUGGGCUUGGAGUGGAAGGGUUCAAGCUCUCUUUUAGAGCUUUGGAAGAGAUUUCUUCUCUUGAGGUGAGAUUUGACCCCUUUUGCUUCUAGGUUAAUGUUUGAUAUUAUAAGAUGAUCGUAAUGCCCGUGUAUCUUGUCGCUCAAUACUUUUAGGGUAUUUUGAGACUCGGGGACAACUUUGUUCGGCGAAACAAGGCCCUUCGCGACGGUUCGGUGGGUUUGACCUAGCCUAUAUAUGAGAAAUUCUCACAUAUGGUUAUAUAUGUUCCGUAAAAGGGAAAAGCAUGCAUAUUCAUACUAAAUGUAUUUAUUAUGAUUUUUAGAAUGCUUAAAAUGCAUAUGUUACAUAUGAUGAAAUUUUGGACCUCUAUGUAGUAGAGAGUUGCUUGGGAGAUCUAUGGUUGCAUUUAGCAUUCUUUAUGAGACUUGAUUCCAUGCUUCUAUAGUGUAAAUGAGUUCGGAUUCAUGCAUUUAAACUUAAGUUUACUUGUGACAUGAAAGAUGACAAAAUUGCCAUUUAGAAGGUGUGUGAACUAGAGAGCUAAUGUCAUCAAGCGGCAUUGAGCUCGGGACAUGUGUGAACCUAGUGAAUAGGGCCAUUGAGGAAUGUGGAAAAUGCUUAAACAUUAAAUGUCUAAGUGUCAUAAAGGGGCACUAGACCUAGAGAAUGUUGGAACUUCAUUUGUGACUUAGAACUAGAUCUUCGAGAUGCUAGCGACUAUACCAUGUUAGAGACAUGAGGGUUGGAUACUUGAGACUUGGACUAUACUUGCUUGCCAUUUGUGCUCAUUCGCACAUGCUUGUGAGGGUCGCUCCCUACAAGCCAGCACUCCGGAGUUAGCCUUCGCAACCUAUGUUCGCUCGUGCGAUAUUGAGAAGCCUACGGGGUCGGGUGGGACAGACACAUUCCAAGAGUAGGGAUGUUGGGCUACCACAGGCACUUAGGCGGCACAAGCUGGACUACCUUUGGUAGGUCCUUGAUUGGAAAUGGAAAUCGACACGGUGUUGAGAAUGAAUAAUCGCUACUAGAUAGGCUUAGUAGUUGGAUUAGGUGACAUGCUCAUGACAUAGCAAUGGAGUAUAUAGUACACUUGCCGGUUUCAUGCAUUGCAUCAUAGUAUACUGGGUUAUCUUGAUAGAGCGUACUCCUUAUAUUUUAGCAUAUGGUAUUGUGAGGUUUACUUGUUCAUUAUGUUGAGGCAUAUUAGUAUGCAUUGGAUAUAUUACCUUAUGAUAGCGUAGAUGUACAUCACCAUGACAUCAUGCUUAUUGGAGACAUAGUAGUAUAGCAUUUCAUUCAUGCUUUCUUUCAGCAGUUUUUGUAUUCGCUAUUUAUUGUAUAUUACUAUAUGUCGUUACUUACCCUUUUCUUUUGAGGUCUAGUGGUGCAUUGAGCUGAGGUCAGUAAUUGCCCACUGGGAACUAUAAAUUAUAGUUCUCACGCCCUCUUUUUCUCGAUGUUUUUCAGAGCCUUCCACGCAGGGUGAGGCCAGGGAUCGCGGAAAGGGAGUUGCUUCGAGCUAGCUUCCUUCGAGGACGAGUUGCUAGGUGGUCUACCUCUCGAUAUUUUACCUUUUUGGCGAGAGGUUGAGGGUUUUACCAGUGUACUAGAGACCACCAUUUUUGUACUAGAGACAUAUAUUGUACUACUUAUGGUUUCUUUUAUUGUCUAGCUUUAUUUCAUUACUUUGGUGUAGAUAAUAGAACUUUACUCGCUCUGAUAUCAUUAGUUGCUAGUUAUUUCACUUCUUUUAUUUGUUCUAUCUCUUGCUUUACUUCCGCUUUUGUUGCAGACGCCUUAUAUGUGUAGACAUAUGGCGGAUCUGGGCACGCUAUCGGGAGGGCCUUCGCCGGUCCCGGGACGUGACAGAUUAAUUUGGUAUCAGAGCCUAGGGUUGAGUCUUAGUGGACCUAGCAAACCUUAGGCCGGUUGGACUAUAGGAAAUAGGCUUGUGAGAGACGAGAUCUAUUUGACUUGUGAGCGAAAGUAUCCUGAUUGGGUGUCUUGAUAACUCUAAAAAGUUAGAGUUCGAUCGGAGUGUAUGGCUUCUAACUUCGCGGAGGGUUACGUUGGCGGCCGACAACGUAACAUCGAGAGUUAGUAGUGAAGGACACUUCCUUACUUUCGCAUGAUUUGGGUUUUAUCUAUUUGAGCGGGGUUGCGAUAGCGUGGGUUACUAACUUGCGCUUUUAUGUUUUGUAGUGACGAUGCCGAUUACUCGCUCCCAGUCUGCCGGGGCGGAUGAUGCGGCACACCCCGAGGAGGUCGAGACCUCCGCUACUUCCGGAUCUAGCGAGGUCCGUGACUUGAGGACCCGGCUUGCGGUUCUCACUGAUCUAUUGGCGCAGCAGACGGCAGCGGCGCAGCGACAGGCCGAGGUGGCUCAGCGGCAGGAGGCGCGGAUGAAGCAUCUCGAGGACCUCCUACUUCAGCAGGCGGCAGCUUCGAGGGAGACCCAGGGUCCCACACCGCCACCACCCGUAGUGGACGUCGCACCGAGGGUGCAGUCCCCUGCGCCCAGCUCUUCACGUGCGGCACCGGUGACCGCACCUCGGGAGGAGGUGGUUGCGGCAUUACCAGUUCAGAGACCGACGACGGUGGCCGCAUUCCCCGUGAUGGCCGAGGGAGCCGAGCGGGAUCGGCUUAUGGAGCNACUCAACCUCCUCUAAAAUAUUUAUUAAACAGUAAAACCUAAACUCUACUUCACUUAUAAUAGAUUAGAAUUACCUUAUUUAUAAUAAAUUAGGAUUAUCUUUAAAUAAUAAUAAAAAAAUUAAUUAUAUAAUAAGUUAAAUUUUAUAGCGAUAAAUUUACUAUUAUAUUUAGGAGAUAAUGAGAUCCACUUACUUACAUCAAAACAAACAAUGGAACUCACAAAACUAAUUUCACCAACACCAAGUUAUUGAAUUUAACUUUCAGGUUAUACGAGUUACGUCAAAACAAACAACCAAAAAAUAAUCACACUUAAGGAAAACUCAAGCAUCACUGCACUUGACUUACGUUGGAUCUACGGAUUCGUCAAUCCAAACGGACCCUUAUACACCUGCCCCUUUUGACUAAUUAAUUAGACCAUCCGUAUAUUCUGUUGCAUAAUUAGCUAGACUCUCUUCCGAAAAGUUUGCCACAUUCAGAGAAGCUACCAAACUGAUUGUACCAUAAUAAUGUUUAGAACAAUAAUUCAGGACAUCAAUAUAUUUCAUAAUACAAUUUAUGUAUAUAUACAAAUAUAAUUGAGCUCUUGUUCUUUUAAAAGUACAUGAGUUUAAUGUGCUUGCGAUUUUUUAGUUGUCGGAUCGUCUCAAGAUCCUUACAAUUUUAGUAAAAAAGACUUAAUGGCACAGACCGUUAAUAUUGCUACACGGAUUUUGAGACGAUCCGACGGUUAAAAUAUCCACGCUUUCUAAAGUAUAGAAGCUCAACUAUAUAUAUAUAGGCUCCUAAUAUCUAUAAUAAUAUCAGGACUCCGGUACUAUAGUUUUGGUUUUAAUCUUAGAAUGUUCAAAUAAAAAAUACACACCAUUAAAACUAAUUUGGAGUAUUUGAAGUUUUUAAAAAUAAAAUUUAUAAAUUUUGAAAUAGUUUACUUUAUAAUUAAACCAUUUUAAAAUAAUCAAUUUUCAAUAACUACUAAGGCGAGUUUAUAGUUUAACGGUAUAAAAAAAUCUAAAUUUAUUCAAAUUUUGAUAAAAAAUACUUUAAACUAUUUAGAUCAAGGUCAGCAUUCUUGAUCUUGAAUUCAAAUGUAGGGGUGGAAACGAGCCGAGCUCGAGCGAGCUUAUUUCAGCUCAAGCUUGGCUUGAAAUUAAUUUCGAGCCUAAAUUUAGGCUCAAGCUUGGCUUAAAAUUAAUUCGAGCCGAGCUCGAGCGAGCCUAACUUCGAGUCGAGCGAGCUCGAGCCCUAAACGAGCUGCUUGAAAUUCUUAACAUCAUGCAAUCUAUAGUUUAAUUUUUAUAAAACAUGAUCUAAAAUUUGAUAUAAAAAAUAUCUAGUUUAACAUACAAAAUGAAUGCAUGAAAUAUGAUAUUAUAAUUAAAAAAAAAAAAAGGAAAAGUGACUCUGCGAGUAAGUGAAAAAAAAAGAAAGAAAGCAAUUAUAGUAGGAUUUUGCUAGUUUGGUUUUGUAGGCCAAAUAAUCUAAAUUCUAUAUACACAUAAUUAAAAUACAUAAUAUAUAUUAUUUUAUAUAAUUAAAAUAUAUAUUAUAUAUAAUUAUAUAUAUAUAGAGAGAGAGAGAGAGAGAGUUCAGCUACUAUAUAUAUUUUUAUGAGUAAAAAUCCCUUUAUACUCAUAAGUUUUCGACCAUUAGAUUUAUAUCAUUUUGACCAUUUUCAUCCGCUAAAUCAUACUAUUCAACGAACUACCAACUCAAUCUUAGGGGACCACUAUCAUUCUAAUCACACAUCCAAUGACUGAAAAUUUAUAAGUAUAAAGAGGUCUAUACUUAUAAGAGUAUAGUAGCCCGAGUUUAUAUAUAUAGAAUUUGGCUAUUAUACUAUUAAUAGUACAAACCGCUUGCUAUUGUGUUUUCGGCCUUUGGAUGAAGGGAUGUGCAGAAGGAUGAUAGCAACCUCCUAGGGUUGAGUGGGUGGCUAGUUGAAUAGUAUGAUCUAAAAAUGGCCAAAGGGAUAGAUCUAACAGCAGAAAACUCGAUAGCACCAAAUGCUUGGUACUAUCGAUACUAUAAUAGCCGGACUCUCUAUAUAUAUAUAUGCAGAUCUAACGGCAGAAAACUCAAUAGUACAAAGCGCUUAGUACUAUCAAUAGUAUAGGUAGUAUAGUAACCGGACUAUAUAAAUAGAGAGAGAGAGAGAGAGAGAGAGAGAUAGAGUCCGGCUACUAUAUUAUCAAUAGUAUUAAAUGCUUGGUGCUAUCGAAUUGUGUGCCGUUAAAUCUACCAUUUUGAUCAUUUUCACUUGUUAGAUCAUAUUAUUUAACUAACCACCCACUCAACCCUAGAGGAUCACUAUCAUUCUAAUCGCACAUCCCUUCAUUCAAAGAUUGAAAACCUAAUAGUAAGUGGUUGGUACUAUAAAUAGUAUAGUCAACUAUAUAUAUAUAUAUAUAUAUAUAUAUAUAGGCCGUGGCUACUGUACUAUUAUGAGUAUUGGAGCCCUUGUACUCAUAAGUUGUUUUCAAUGAUAGAGCUUCCGAAUCGACGAUCCACUCCGUUAAAUAUGAUCUAGAAUAUUUGAAACUUCUAGAAAAUCAAUUUCGUAAAUUUUGAAAUCACAAUAAAGUCCAUCAAGUCGGCAUAAAUGAACGGUCAAAAUCGAACGACGUCCUAAAAAAGGAUGAUCAGAUCCUUCAAUUUAAGAUCGGAGUUAUUGAUCUUUAUCUAUAAGUGAAUAGAAUUUUCUAUCAAAAAAUCAAUAAUUCCGAUUCUUUAACACCGUUAAACUAGCAAGUAUCCAUACCGGCCGUUAAAAAUUGACAAAUUUGUGACCUCUGAUAGUAAGGUAAAUGAUGUCGAAAAAUUAAAAUUUGAUUUCUAGAAGUUUUAAAUGCUGUAAAUAACGUUUAACGGUGUGGAUCGUCGAUUCGGAAGCUCUAAUCAUCGAAAACAACUUAUGAGUACGAGGGCGAUCGUACUCACAAUUAAUAGUAGCCGACCCUAUAUAUAUAUAUAUAUAUAUAUAUAUAUAUUAUAUAUAUAUAUAUUAAAUAUUUCGAGCUUUUCGAGCUUAAUUCGAGCGAGUCGAGUAAUACUCAAGCUCGCUUGAAAUUAAUUUCGAGUCUAAAUUUAGGCUCAAGCUGCUUGAAAUUAAUUCGACCCGAGCUCGAGUGAGCCGAAUAUCGAGCCGAACAUGAGUCGAUGUAUAUAUACAAUAUAAUGAGCACUUAUUCUUUUAAAAGUACAUGACUUAAUGUGCUUGCGAUUUUUAGUUGCGGGAUCGUCUCAAGAUCCUUACAAUUUUAGUAAAAAAGACUUAAUGCACACACCGUUAAUAUUGUUACAUGGAUUUUGAGACAUCCGACGGUUAAAAUAUCCACGCUUUCUAAAGUAUAGAAGCUCAACUAUAUAUAAUAGGCUCCUAAUAUCUAUAAUAUCAGGACUCCGGUACAUAGUUUCGGUUUUAAUCUUAGAAUGUUCAAAUAAAAAAUACACACCGUUAAAACUAAUUGGAGUAUUUGAAGUUUUAAAAAUAAAAUUUAUAAUUUUUGAAAUAGUUCACUUAUGAUUAAACCUUUUAAAAUAAUCAAUUUUCAAUAACUAUUAAGGCGAGUUUAUAGUUUGAACGGUAUAAAAAAAAUCUAAAUUUAUUUAAAUUUUGAUAAAAAAUAUUUUAAACUAUUUAGAUCAUGGUCAGCAUUCUCGAUCUUAAAUUCAAAUCUCCUAUUCUGCUAAUUUUAAAGAUUGUUCAAUUUUUAUUGUUCAUUUUGGUUUGAUUUACUUACUAAGUAAACAUUGUAGAAAAAACUUAAAGUUUAUUCUAAGAACUUUAUAUACUAUAGAUUAUAUUUAAUAGUGUGAAUCGUUGAUUUGAACGUCCUUAAAUUGAAAAUCAGAUUAUAAUACCGAAGCUCUAGUACUAUGGAUUGUAUAUAUGCUAGCCUCGCUCUAUAUAAGUACAUAUCGGACAAUUUCGGGUGAUUUCGUAGAGCCACGUUAUCACCUUUAUAGAAAACUCCCUUAAAAAAACAUAGAAGUUUUAAAUUAAUCCAAUUUUAAGCCUGUAAGAAUAAUAUUUUAUUUCAAUUAGAUAUAAAAACUAGAAGACAGAAGUUAGACUUGAUAAGACUUACAAUUCGACCAUAUUUUUUGACUCUAAAGGAAAACCAAAUAAGAUUAAAGAGAUAUAUUAAUAUAAAAUUAAAAUAUAGCACGUUGACCCAGAUACGAACUCAUAUGACGAUCCGGUUUAUUCAAACCAAGCACCGUAACGAAGAAAGGAAAAGAAAUGGCUUUCGUAACAGUUUAUCGAUCAAUUAUCACAUUAGUUGCCAUUAGUGUCAGACGACCAAAAAAAUCUCUUCAUAUUUGUUAUUCCUCCUCGUACGUAUCUCCAUAUGUCAAUUUAUUUACUGUGAAUUUCCAAACAAAUGAGAAGGUUUUAAGGUGCGAAUUAGUUCGAAGCGUACAUUUUGGUAGCCACAUCGAUUCUGAUUGGGAAUGUAAAGUUUCACAAAUUAUAUAGGAGGGUAUGAUCUGAUCCAUGUCCGCCGAAUGCACAAUUCACAAACUGAGUCUCCCUCAACAUACUUCACGAAAAUGCUUCUCGAUCGCUUGAUCCUUUCUCUGCAUGCACUCUAGCUGCAGUUUGCCACUUCUAGUGCCAAGCAUAUAUAUACAUAAAAAGAGCAUGCAUGCGACUUGCGAGCAAGAGUUCGAAUCAUACCCAAACCAAGUCAUCAACCAGACUAGGUCUAAUUCUGGGAAAUUUGAGGCCCCAGAAGAAAACUGAUCCAACUCGAUUUGCUGAUUAAAUUUGGCCCUGCGUUUUGUCUUAGAAAAGCUAUAAGAGAUUCGGACCGGACCAACCAAAGUUAGCCCAGCAACAAACAAGAUCAGACCUGGGCCUUUCUCCGGUAUACUCUGUCUCUGUUUUUAAGGUCACAAAUCCAUCAAACAUGUAUUCGAAGUUAAUUAUGAAUUUUUAAGAUUAAUUUUUUACUUAUAACUAUCAAGAAUAAUUUUCACGUAAAAUUAAAUUAUAAACUGCUCAUAUUUAAUUUUAAUUAUAAAUUAAAUGAGACCAUACAGUACGUUUUACUGACUAUAGAAACUACACUUUCAAAACACAACUAACAUGGCUUUACAAGAAAAGAAAAAGUGAUAUUUAUAUAAAACAAUAAUGACACAUUAAGAGAAUUAAGAAAUGCUUAUGGGCUUAAUUACUAAAGUCUCUCUUUGAUGCAAACCUGCACUGCAUUAAGGGGGAAGAAGACGAAGCAGAGAUACACAAAGAAGCCAAUUCUUCGAAAAGAAAGAAAAAUAUUACUGAUUAACUCUAGACUAGUUACAUUAAUCAAACACGCCGCGCGCGCGCACACACAUAUAUAUAUAUAGAGAGAGAGUAUAUCUCCUGUAAUUUUGAAAAUACGGAGGUCUUCGAGCUUUCAAGUUGGUUUCAAUAAUGGGACAUUCAAUUCGACGAUUGGCUCGUUAAGUAUAUAAUUUUUAUAAAAAAUUUUGCUUACCAUCAAGAGCAAGAUCAAUACUGAUGAUUUAAAGUUUGAGCCUUUUAUCACUGUAUUUUAUGAGAUUGUUAUUUUCGGUCGUUUAUUUUAAAGCUACUUGUUCAUUAGGUAAACAAAGUUAAAAAAUUAUGAAAUUUGAAUUUUAGAUAGUCGCAACACUAUGAUGAGCACUAUACCACUAGACUUCGCAUUACAUUUACUCUACUUCUGCUCGAUAUUCUAUGAUGCUUUAGUAGUAGAGUGAUGCCUUAUAGUACUUUUGCAUGACUUCUAUCUGUGGGACCUGAUUGGUCAGUAUCAGUGCUAUUUAUGAGACAUAGGUGAUAUAUUUGACAAGUGGUUACUAUUGACUUGAUCUCGGUUAUUUGCCAUUAUGUUGGCUAUUAAACAUAUUGUAUGGAUCGUCAUAGUUCAUAUAGCAUGCCACGUACACCAGCAGUUUGGCCACCGCAAUGAUGUUCUUUUCCAGAAGAGUGGUCGUAUAUCCGACUCAUGAGCCCUAUCCAAGGUGAUUAGCUGGGAUUAUAUGCUAAUAGGUAAGCAAUUUGUGGCAUCGCCUGAGGUCUUUAGACCGAUUUGGCAGGUGAUUGGGUAUUUGCUCUAUAUAUACAGUUGAUGCAUUUAUUAUUAUUUACAGUAGCGAUAGGUGCUUUACUAUUGUUAAUUCCUAUUGUUUAUCUUUUGGCUAUAUUCUAUUUGAUAGUGAGUACACAUACCUUCGUCGGCUUGCGGUACCCACUAGGAGACCUCUUGUUAGUUUCUCACCCCUUCCCCUAAUUUCAGGUGAUCUUGGUGGCGAGGAUCAGGAUGAUACUUGACAUGCGGACAGCUAGGUAGCUUUAGAGGUCCCGUGCAUUCACCAUUUGGCACUGGUUACUCUAAUCUUUACCCUUUAUGUUUACUCGUUAAUAAAGUAGACUGUGUCAUGGUUCAGUUAGUUGAUUGUUUGAUUUAAUUGAAUGUUUAUUUUGAGAAUAAAUAACUGAUGUGUUUCUGUUUACUAUAUGUGAUAGUGGUAAUGUUAUACUUGUGGUUUUAUGGCAAAACGAUUUUCUACACCUCGUGGUAGUUGAAUUUCAGAAGAAUGAGUUUUCGUGUUGGAAACGAUUUUCAAAAUAAUGUUAUGAAUUUUUUUCAUCUAUUUAAAUUAAAUAGAAUCCUAAUCAGAUUUUGAUGGAAAAUCAAUCUGGACUCUAUAUAAAGGGAUAUUGGUCCUGCCACCUUCUCAUGUGUAUUCUGGUAAAGAAUUACUAUUAAUUCUAAUACUAUACGGAAGUGUUCCUAAGAAAGGAAGAGAAACAUCCAAAAAUGCGUAAAUUAUUCAGGUCACUAUUCCUUCCCUUCAAGAUCUGAAGAGGAGAUUCAUUAUUAAGCACUUUACUUGGUAACCUAUUAAUUAGGUAACAAGCUGUGAGUAUAGCAUCAGACCAAUAAGUUUUAGGAACAUGCAUUUGAAAUAUUAAGCAUCUUGUAACCUCUAGUAAGUGUCUAUAUUUCCUUUCAGCAAUCCCGUUCUGUUGAGGUGUACCGACGUAAGUCGUUUGAUGUAUAAUCCCAAGAUUAGAGAGAUGUUCAAAGAAACAUUUGUUAUCAUACUCUUUUCUAUUACCAGUUUUCAAAACUUUAACCUUUGCAUUAUAUUGAUUUGAGAUCAGAUUAAGAAAAUCUUUAAAGGCAAUAAAAACUUCAGUUUUGUGCUUCAACAAAUAAAUCUAAGUACAACGAGAAUAAUCAUCAAUGAAACUGACAAAGUAUCGAAAACCAUCACGAGAAUCAAUUGGUGCAGGACCCCAUACAUCGGAAUGUAUUAAACUAAAGAGUUCAUCAGAUUUUUUCAUAGAUGGUUGAAACGGCAGUCUAGUUUGUUUAGAAAAUUGACAAAUUUCACAAGCAUCAGAAUUAGAAGAUAUAGAAGGUAUCAAAAUACUUAAAACUUUGUCAGAGGGAUGACCCAUUCUACUGCGCCAUAAGCUGAAAUUUUCAUGCAGUCCUUUUUUUGCUACCAAAGCUUUACUCUUUUGAUCAAACAAAUAAAGACCUCGGUGGAAUUUUCCUUCACCAUUCUUCUUCCCCGUGGAUCUAUCCUGAAAAAUUACCGAAUUAGUGAAAGUAACAUUGCAAUUCAGAUCUUGGGUAAGUUUACCAAUAGAGAGUAAAUUGGAUGGGAAAGAUGGGAUGAAAAGAACAUCUGAUUUGUGAGAUUCAGAAAAGAAACUAGUCUUUCCAACUCCCUGCAUAGGAAUUAAUGAUCCAUUUGCAAUUGAAACAGGAUUUCUGUAGAUGGAAUCUCGGUAAUGUGAUAAGCAAUUCAAAUUACCAGUCAUAUGAUCAGUAGCACCGGAAUCAAUAACCCAAGUUGUGUUAUCAGAAAUUAAUGCAAUGGGGUUACCUGAUUCGUUUGCUGUUGUAGAAGAGUUCUGAGUGGAGGGCGAUGUGGAGGACGUGCGAUACAGAUUUGCUAAGGUAUUGAAGGAGCUGAGUAAGCUUUUCAACAGAGAUAUGAGUUUUCGAAGCAACCUGAGGUAUAGGUCUAUUAUCAUUAUCUCUACCUUUGCUCCUGUAAGGUUUCAAGUGAGGAUGUAAAACCCAACAUCUGUCUUUAAUAUGACCUAUAGCAUUACAAAAUGAUCACAUCUGGGUGGAGGUCUUCCACUUUGCCCUCUGUUUCUACUAGUAUCCUUUACAUCAUUAUGAAAAGGCUUCUUAUACUCAUUCUUUUCUUUCAAAGCAGCAAAAGCACUAGUUUCAGAUAACUCACUUUGAUGCUUUGGUUCUAAAUUCAUAGCCUUUUUUCUAGUCCCUUCACGUUGUAUAAUAGCACAAACACUAUUAAGAGAAGGAAGUUCUGGGCUCAUCAAAAUUUGGCUUCUAAGACUCUCAUAUUCCGGUUUUAAAUUAGCAAGAAGUUGAAAAAUCUUUUCCUCCUUAGCACGUUUUUGGAGAGUCUUUAAAUCAGUAGUUAGAGAUUGAUAAAUAUUUAAUCAUCCCACAUAGCUUUAUGAGUGCCCAGAUGCUUAAUAAAAGACUUAUCUCCUUAAUUGUUGUGCCCUUGUAAUAUCAUGCUUUAACUCAAAUAUUCGGGAUGCAUUAUUUUGUUGACUAUACAGAGUUUUAACAAAAUCCCAAAGAUCUUUAGCAGUUUCAGAAAAAGUAAAAAUUUCAGCAAUUUUGGGUUCCAUUGAGUUUAGGAGCCAUGUCAUAACUAAGUGAUUAUUAGAUUGUCAUUCU
rnacentral:lncRNA from 1 species